rnacentral:rRNA from 1 species
AGUGAACGCUGGCGGUAGGCCUAACACAUGCAAGUCGAACGGCAGCACAGUAAGAGCUUGCUCUUACGGGUGGCGAGUGGCGGACGGGUGAGGAAUACAUCGGAAUCUACUUUUUCGUGGGGGAUAACGUAGGGAAACUUACGCUAAUACCGCAUACGACCUACGGGUGAAAGCAGGGGAUCUUCGGACCUUGCGCGAUUGAAUGAGCCGAUGUCGGAUUAGCUAGUUGGCGGGGUAAAGGCCCACCAAGGCGACGAUCCGUAGCUGGUCUGAGAGGAUGAACGGCCAAACUGAAACUGAGAAACGGUCCAGACUCCUAGGGGAGGCAGAAGUGGGAAAUAUUGGAAAAUGGGGGAAAGCUUGAUCAAGCAAUACCGGGUGGGUGAAGAAGGCCUUCGGGUUGUAAAGCCCUUUUGUUGGGAAAAAAAAGCAGAAGGUUAAUACCCCGCUGUUCUGAGGGUACCAAAAGAAUAAGCACCGGCUAACUUCGU